UGGCAUAGCAUUUGCUUGAAGCUGAACCAAACAAAGAAUUGCAGACAAUAACAACUAUUAUAUUUUUGUUUAAAAUUAGUUUUUUUUAUGUUUUUAUUAUUAUUAUUUUGAUACGUUGAUAUCAAAAAUAAUUUUUUAAAAAUAAAAAAAUAUUAUUUUGAUACAUUUCUAAGCAAAAUAUAAUUUAAAAAGCAACCGCUUCUAUACUCACAAACACCCCAAAAUUUCUAGUUUGUCUAUCAAGCAAAGAAAAAAAAUUUCAUGAAAUCCAAGUUCAGGCAUAGGUCUGUCUUGAAACCCAAGUAUGAGCCUAGCUGGCAUGUACAUGUAUACGUGAGUUUAAACUUAAAUUUCACUUUAUUUGAUUUCUUUUCCCUUUCGCCUUCUCAUUAUAUAAAUAUUAAGAAAAUUUUAUUUCUUUUGUACAUAUGAUAGAGUUUUAAAAGGACAACAUAUGAACCUAAAAAAGUUUUAGAAUAAUUUUUUAUUAACUCAUAAAUUGUUUUAAUCAUGUUAAUAUGUAUUUCAGGUUAAAGAGUUUAUAUUGAAAAACAAACUCCAACAAAGUCUUAACUCCAAAAGUUAAUGGAGCACACUUUUAAUUUAAAAUUAAAUAUGUAAAUUAACCAUGAAUUUAAAAUAAUUUUUCCAACAAAAAGUUAAAAAGAAUCAUGAAGACAAUCAAUAUCAUGAUGGUAUUACACUUGUGCUAGUCUUCAACUUACAAGAAAAAAAUAUUGAAACUUACAUCACAUGGUAAUGUAAAAUAUACAUGCAUGAUGCUUGCCAGCUUGGAGAUUUUAAAUAGAGACAAAGAAAUCAAAAGGAUCCCCUAAUUUUCAAUAUAAGUGGGCUAAAGAUGACUCACAGAGAAGAGCUUAUUAGGAGCAUUAAGUUCAUGCUUGCUCAUGGGCGGCCCCGCUACGCAUUCUAGAGCCGGGCAUUAUUGGGAAGGCAUCUUCUUUAUUGAAAGUGAUUGAUUUGGAAUCCUGUCGAAAAUAAAAAAAUUGAAAAGAAGAAAAAUAAGAUGAAUGGUGUUAUUUAGAUAAGAAAGAAGAUAGAAAGGCACGGCAAAGCUAAGACUUUUCCUGCACAUAAAAGUUCAAGAGAAAUUUGGAGACGAGAGGAGAGAAGGAAAAGGUUAGCGAUGAAGUUCUUGUUCCAGUGCCCUUGUUGCUCAUGUUUCUGCUUCAUGAAGCCUAAACAGGGAAGACCAAAGGUGAAGGAAACUACCAAGGAAGCGAAGAAAGAGUGAUCAUAUAUUAAAUGCAACCACAACGUUGGUGCAUAAUGUUUGAUCUACUUUUAGUGUAUGCCUCUUUUUCCUUGCUGGUUCUUCUCUUGUAAUUUGUACGUAGCAUUUUCUUUCUAAUCCAUAUGAAAUGCCUCUACCUCUAAUUACUACGCUUGGAAAUAAAUGUUACCACUACAUUUUGUUUUUCCCGAGUUAAAAACAAUGCAUCCUCCAUUUUCUGCUUCUGCUUGCAUAAUUGCCUGCAAAUCUGUUUGUCCUGUUAACAAUUCUGGAAAAUACAAAUACGUACAUCCAUCUGUAAGAACUCUGUGUGUGUGUGGAUAGGUAUAUUUUACAUUAAGAGCUUUUGUAAUGGAGCACACGUUACCCAGCUAGCUACACAACUGGGGUUGUUUUAGCUUUCGAGCAAUUUGUUUUUUAAAAAUGAAGAAAAAUAUUACAUAUUGGGUAUGAAUAACUCGGAACUCGUAUCAGUUAUCACAUAAUGAAGGGAAACAUUACAUAUUGGGUAUGAAUAAUUAACUCAUAGCAACAUGUCUGGCCGGUGAUGAGCUCAUGCAUGCUCGCAAGCGAAUGAAGAGAUCAAAGUAUG
rnacentral:lncRNA from 1 species